GAGCCUCUGAGACUCCAGGUUGCUGCCUAGGGGCGCGCAGUGCAGAGGAGCCCCCGUGGGAACCACUGCCCGGGACACUAGAGGUGGCUUCUGAGCCGGGACCCCGCGCGGAACCAGCCCAGCCAAAGCAGCCGCGGCGCCAGGGGCUGCCAGAACCCGCCCUGGUCUCACCUUUAAGAUCAGGCUGUGCUGGGGCGCCAGCAGGUGCUCCACGCUCUCUUCGACCUGGUAGCGGCUGAAGCUGGCGCCGAGCAGGAUGGAGAUGAGCACCGGCGCCGAAGCAAAGAAGACCGGGUGACUGGCAAUGAAGUGGCCAAGCCGGGAGAAACACGUCCUCAAGCCCCUGUGCAGAACCUGCCGCAGCAUCCUAGAGCAGAGCGGGCGCGGGAGGAGGGCGAGGCGCACGCUCGGCGCGGG
ensembl:antisense Gm15156 predicted gene 15156